UGUAAGAUUGAUGUAACUGGG
rnacentral:siRNA from 1 species